AUUGAACGCUGGCGGCAGGCCUAACACAUGCAAGUCGAGCGGAUGAUGGUAGCUUGCUACCUGAUUCAGCGGCGGACGGGUGAGUAAUGCCUAGGAAUCUGCCUGGUAGUGGGGGACAACGUUUCGAAAGGAACGCUAAUACCGCAUACGUCCUACGGGAGAAAGUGGGGGAUCUUCGGACCUCGCGCUAUCAGAUGAGCCUAGGUACGAUUAGCUAGUUGGUGAGGUAAAGGCCCACCAAGGCGACGAUCGUUAACUGGUCUGAGAGGAUGAUCAGUCACCCUGGAACUGAGACACGGUCCAGACUCCUACGGGAGGCAGCAGUGGGGAAUAUUGGACAAUGGGCGAAAGCCUGAUCCAGCCAUGCCGCGUGUGUGAAGAAGGUCUUCGGAUUGUAAAGCACUUUAAGUUGGGAGGAAGGGCAGUAAGUUAAUACCUUGCUGUUUUGACGUUACCGACAGAAUAAGCACCGGCUAACUUCGUGCCAGCCGCCGCCGUAACAC
rnacentral:rRNA from 1 species